UUGCUGCAGGGGUAGAGGGAGGUGCUUGGCAAGAAUAGGACAUUGCGGUCAGAGUGGGAUAUCUGAAAUGGGUACUAUGGGAGUGACUGAGUUUCUUGAGAUCACAGAGUUCAAGUUGUAACUGAGGGAGCAGGUGGCUUAGGGUGAAGUGGAGGAAAUCACUAGGAAGCUCAGUGAGCAGAGUCAAGAUUGUUGGCUGGUUAAUCCAUGGGGCUAUUGUAUUCAGCUGGAUGAUUACAGCAGCUAAGGUGAGGAUGGAGAUUGUGCACAGGUGCUAACGUCUUCAAGGAGGACUUGGAGGUUGAAGCAGCAAGAGUGGUGAAGCUGCAUGAUAUGAAUCUCAAAGUUCCAGAAAAGGAUUUGGAUGGAGCUGUUGGAAACCAGGAGGAUACUAAUCCAACUUCUUAGCCCACUGCUUAAGUACUGGAGGCGUGAGAGGGAAAACAAACAAAAAAGCACCUUGCCUGAGUAGGAUAAAGGAGAAAUCAUGUUUACUGGGAACAUCGAGGUUUCAGUUCUGAUUAUUGUGCUUCAAGCAAUCUCUUCUUCUCAAGUUACUCCCACCACAUGGCCUAGUCAACUGCUACUGAGCUGGGAACCAGAAGACCCUAGCAAGGUCACUUGGCUAACAUCAGGAUUUAUGCUUCACUAGUGCCAAGAUUUGGAGUCUAACACCCUCUCUUGACAUCCACUUGGAGAAUAAUUGGUUCAAUAUCUUGGCACAUGAAAAAUAAAGAUCAUCCGGAAACAUUUUGUUUUCAGGAACAAGGAAACUCAGUAGUUUCUGGGUUAGAGAUAAAAUGGACAAUUUGCUCAGCCUGAAAACAGGGCUUUUAGUGGACAAAUUUUGACACUUAGAGCAUCAAGGGAAAACAAUGGUUAAUGUCAAUUGAAACAUUCCCCAUAUGUGAUAUAAGCUACAGUGUUGAAACAAAAAUGUGAAUUUUCACAGAAAAUAUGUGCUAAAAGUUAGUUAUUUUGCCCACGAGUUUCCAAUAUUGUCUCCAAAAGUACAUAAAAUGACCAACACAAAUUUUAUGAGUCCAAGAGUGGAGUUGUAGCAACCUCCUAAAAAUACAAGAUAUAGAAGUGUUUUUUUUCAAUAUAGCAAAAGAAGAGAUUUAGAUAGGCAUGUAGGGGGAAUUUUGCGUGGUGUAUCUGGUUUUGUUAUGUUUUCUCUACUGGAGCUCUGGUGGCUCAGCUUGGCUCUUAUUUGUAGACUACUGUAGAACUCGCAUUUUGAUUGCUUGGUCAGUGAUAUAUGGGAAGUCAUGAGUCACAGACUGGGUUGUCUGUGAAAAGAAGAAAGAAAGAAAAGAGAGAAGAGAAGAGAAGAGAAAAGAGAAAACAUGAACUGGGACCAAUUUUUGGAAAUGCCACAAGCCACGCUGUUAACAAUCAGCAUCUGUCUAAGCUGUCAGUUUACUGAAUGAAACAUUUCAUCAUUCUGGCUAUAUCCAAAAUCAAACUGGUGGCAAAUAUCUGCCCUUGACUGAUGGGCGAGACCUCGCUGGAGAAGCCUGGAGAUUCCCGACCCUCCCAUCUAUUUGGUGAUUGCCUGAUAAAGUGGUAGAAAAGGCCAGAAAUACUUUCCUUAAAUUGGCACAAAUUUGUAGAACAAUUUAUAGUCCAGAACCCUUUCCUUGUCACUCUGCUGUCCACCAUCAGGUCAAGGCUGGCCUCAACUUGGGACCACAUCUUGACUUUGCUCUUCCCCCUGACUCUUUACAGGUUUGUCCUGAAGCACACUUCCUCAAUAAAUCAUGUACACUCAAAUCCACCUCUCAGUCUCUGCUCUAAAAUUUCUGGGUGAUCCAGGAAAACUGUUACAGUUUGAAACCCUUUUGCUUGUGUUCCAGAGCCC
rnacentral:lncRNA from 1 species